rnacentral:lncRNA from 1 species
AAGAAUUAUCUUACUUCAUGUAUGGUAUGCCAACUGUUCGAUAAAGGUCCUUUUAGAAAUCUUCUAUUGAUUACCUUGCGAAGACCACAAAACUAGACACACCCAAAAGCAUUCUUGCAUAGUUUAUACAUAGAGAUGGCCGAUUGAUGAUCGUCUUAUUUGUAGACUUAACGCGAGCAGACUCGAUCGCUUAGUCCUUAUUGAUUUACGACACACAUGCUCACACACACACAUACACACAUCACAAAAUCACACAAAUUGACGGAUAAUGUUGCCGUUCAGCUCCUUCCUGAACCUCACCGCGGCAUUUUUCUGCACCAUAGUGGCCGUGAAAUACCACGAGACGAUGUCAUGGACGGCGACGUGUUGUCCGGUGGCGGCGGAUAGCCCGACCUGAACCUGCUGAGGAACAAAGUCGCUCAAAUCGUACUCAUAGUUGACAUCAAAUGUCUGCGAGCCGGCGGUGACUUUCACGGAGAUCAUCCUUGUGGCUCCGACGUAGUUGAUCCGCGCAGUCACCUGCUGCCCGAGUAUGGAGUUGUCGACCUUCGUCGUGUUGCUGGAUGCCCUAGAGCCGAAGUCGAUGCCGAUGUGGGGAUAGAGCGGAUCCCACGCGCCGUUGACGUAGGUGUCGAUUUCGACGGCGAAGACCGAGGGGCUGUUGCCGUUGGAGCCAAAGAUUCCGAGGUUGGCUCCGUUGGAGCCAGGGGGGAUGGUGGAACCGACGGGGGCAAUGAAGAAGGCGAGGCCGUCGGCAGGCUCGUUGUCGGCGCCCGGGGUGAUGAUGAAGUUCACAGUGGUUUCGAAGUCGACCUGCCCACCGGACUGCGAGAAUUGGACCGGGUUCGAGUGCAAGACGCGGCCGACUUGUGAGGGCUGUGCGUCUGUGAGGCGGAGGAAGGUGGAGUCCGUCGGGAAAUGGGCGCUGCCUUGAUAGAUGAGAUCUUUCGGCUGGUCGCCCCAGAAGUCGUAGGUGAAGGACGUCGUUUGGGACAACGCCGUGUUGGAAACGGCGAGGAGGAGGGCGAUGGAGGCGAGGAGAGGAGUUAAGGUUUGAACAAGCUGGUUGGCCAUGGCUUAAUUGAUUUAGAUUUAGAUUUAGAGAUGUGGUGGAUGAUGGUGGCCAGGUAUCGAUCUCUUGCACCUAUUUAUACUAGUAUGGUUCAUGCCUGUUAAUAAUUGUAUAUAUCAAUCAAUCAUCGUGCAUCUAUCCCAAAUUAUAUGUCUUAUUAUUCACUAAUUAGAUGGAAUAAAUCCUAAUUAGCAAUCUUAAAAUUACACCGCCAAUGAGGCCUUGCUCUAGUGGUAAAGCUGUGGCACCGAAUAACUUUUCUUUGUGAAAGGUCUUGGGUUCAAUCUCGCCUGCAUGCGGUGAUGUUUGUCCAUUUUAGAUGGUGUGGUAUUCUUGCCUGCGUGCGGUGUUGUAUUAUUUAGUCUUAGGCGUUCUUGCCUGUGUGCAUAUCACUGUGUGACAAUUAAAAGAAUGACUUUAAAAUAAAAGUUAAGCCUUAAAAAUUUAAUCUACAUUCAUAUAUAACUGAAAUUACAUGCAUGUCUAAUUUUUUUAAUAUCAUAACAAGAUAAGAUUUAUUAAAUAAUUCAGAUGCAUAAAUAAAAAGUUAAUCUAUAAACACAGUAUAGAUAUAUUAUCAAUGAUAGGCCGUGUAUAAGUCUUAAUCUGUAAAACUAUAUCAUCCCAGCCUUAAACGACUACCAUUCCUGCUUUCCCAGAGCAACCACACUGUUCCCACCCACAAAGCUUUAAGCAGUACAUGCAUGUCUAAAUAUUAUUUAUAAUUAUCAAUAACAAGAUUAAUGAUUCUAUAUCUCUAUGUUUAUACAUAUAUUCACGUAUGACAUAGUAUAUAUUAGCUAUUAAGUUAAAAACUAAUAAAAUACUACAGUUUUGCAUAGGAUAUAUAUUUAAUUAGUAGUAGGAUAGGACACGUGUAUUAAUUUUAAGGGCAAGUAAUCAAACUUUUGAAUGAUUCAUCAUGCUUAAAAAAAAAAAGAGACCUAGAUAGAUGAUUCAUCAGAUUCAAAAACAAGUAUAAAUAGACUUCGAGUUUGAAAUUUUAAUUAAUUUGCAACAACAAUUCAAACUGACUGUAUUAAGGUAAGUAGUUACAGAUUUCAUACACAUUAUAUGAUUUCGCGCACAUACGUAUGUAUAUAUAAAUAUUUUUUAAAAUCAUAUACUCCCUCCGUCCCCAAAAUAAGUUCCUCUUUGGGGACGGCACGGAUUUUAAGGAAAAGUGGUAAAGUGUAUUAAUAGUGGAGAAAAAUAUGUUAUAAUUAGUAUUGGAAGUUGUGAAAAGGUGAAAAAGUGUUAUAAUUAGUAUUGGGAGUGGUGAAAAAGUGAAAAGUAAGAAUAAAUAAAGUAUUAUUAGUGGUGGGGUAGUUGUCCAAAAAUGGAAAAAAAGAAAGAGGAACUUAUUUGGGGGACAUCCCAAAAUGGAAAAAGAGGAACUUAUUUCAGGGACGGAGGGAGUAUUAUAUAAUAAUUAUAUUUAAGUUUUAUAUUAUUCUUUAUAAACUAUUGUUCCAUUCUAUAUAAUUAGGUGUGGCACGACUAGGACGUAACUUUCGAUUGAAUUUCUCAAGUUAAUUUUCAAGUUCAAGUUUCAGGUGUGAGAUUUAUUUAAAUACAUGUCAUGAUUAUUCAUUGUCCAUUUUAAUAGUAUGUGUUUACCAUAUGUGUUAUGACGCAUAUUUUGAGGACAUCGCUAGGAGCCCAUAAAUAGGGUCCAGGACUUCACCGUCCUUGGAUUGCCACAAUGCGAUUUGAGGUUUAUUUUGAGGAUGUCGUCAGGGGCCCGUAAAUAGGGUCCAGGACUUUAAUAGUCAUUGGGUUGCCACAGUGCGAAUAUUGAAGAUAUAUAUGAAGUGACCGUAUGUGUUACCGUUUCAUUAACGUGGACAAUGAUUGCAUGUUUAAGAGACAAUAACCAAUUUUUCAGACAUUUGUGAACAAAAUGAAGCAUGUUUAGAGAUCCUUAAUAAAGGUGUACGAAAUGAUGGAUAAAUAAGUUUGUGAAACAAAUUUCACCAUACCUAACCCCACAAUUAUUUGCGGUCGAAUUUCCUCGUCACAGGAAAAAGAGAUGAUGACAAAAGGGCAAAAAUUAAUUAACAAAGUAGAAGAUGCAUGACAACUGUAAAAGAAAAAUAAUGCUACUAAUUAAAUAGUCCAAACUUCAUACGUUUCAUAUCAUAAGUGGCAGUUCUAUUUUUUUUUUGCGAAAGUGAACAAAAUAACGAAUAAUUUUUAAAGUAAUAGUAAUAAGGAGAUGUGUUUUGACAGAAAACGACAUGAGCGGCCUAAAAAUAAGAGGGAAAAAGAUAAUCAUAUAAAUAUGGGUUAAUUGCCUCUAAAUACACCACCUUUCCUUGAAUUCUACAAUUGCACAUCACCUUUAAAAUCCGCCCUUAAAUACACCACCUUUCCUUGAGUUCUACAAUUGCACAUCACCUUUAAAUCCGCCCCAAAAUACAUCAUCUUUAUAUUUUUUCUGUUUUUGCACAUGACUAAAAAAUUCUCAAGAAAUAAAUUAAAGUGUUAAUUUAUAAAUUUAAAUAUCUUUUUAGCAGCGAAAACAUAAUAAAAUAAAAUUCUUUAUAAAGUUUAAAAUCAUAUAUAUAUAUAUAUAUAUAUAAGUAUUUUCGUAAAGAAAUAAAUUCUCUAAUAAAUUUUUAGAAAGAACUUGAAUUAAAAAAAUAAACAAGUCAUGACAUUAAGAAAAUAAAAUGAAAUUUUUAUUUUAAUAAAUUUCACACGAAUUCGAUAUAAUUUGGAAUUUAGAGUUACAAUAAUCAGAAGUACCACAUGAAUAAUAUAAUGAGUUUGAAAGAAAUUUUUUUUAAAGAGGUUCGACACGCCCAUUCGACUUUCCACGCGCCUCCAAUGUCAUUUACCUGAAAUAUUAANUAUAUAAGUAUUUUUCGUAAAGAAAUAAAUUCUCUAAUAAAUUUUUAGAAAGAACUUGAUUAAAAAAUAAACAAGACAUGACAUUAAGAAAAUAAAAUGAAACUUUUAUUUUAAUAAAUUUCACACGAAUUCGAUAUAAUUUGGAAUUUAGAGUUACAAUAAUAAAAAGAACCACAUAAAUAAUAUAAUCAGUUUGAAAGAAAUAUAUAUAUAUUUUUUUAAAGAGGUUCGACGCGCCCAUUCGACUCUCCACGCGCUACCAAUGUCAUUACCUGAAAUACUAAAUAUGGGAUAAGCAUACAUAAUAUACUUAGUGUGGGAACAUGCAAUUAUUGUCCACGUUAAUAAAAUAGUAACACAUACGAUCAUAACAUUCAAAACGACACAAUUUUGCCAAUAUGGAAGCCACGUCAUUUAAAGUGGUAACACCCUAAUCUAACUAAAGUGUUAAAUAUAAAUUUAAAGCGGAAAUAUAAUAAAAUAAAGUUCUUUAUAAAAAUAAAUAAAGAAUUUUAUUUUAUUAUAUUUCCGCUGCUAAAAAAGAUAUUUAAAAUUUAUAAAUUAACACUUUAAUUUAUUUCUUGAGGAUUUUUAAGUCAUGUGCAAAAACAGAAAAAAAAUAUAAAGGUGAUGUAUUUUGGGGCGGAUUUAGAAUUCAAGGAAAUGUGGUGUAUUUAGGGGCGGAUUUUAAAGGUGAUGUGCAAUUGUAGAAUUCAAGGAAAGGUGGUGUAUUUAGGGGAAAUUAACCCUAUAAAUAUUCAAAAUCAAACGGAUUGGCAUGUAUUCAUCAUUUUUUAUUUUUUAUUUUGAUAAUUUAACAGUAUUAAAUAAAGAAAUUUAUAGGCUGCGUCCCUUACUGCUUGGCUUUUAGAUUAUGUUGUAAUAAUAAAAUUAAAAGCACGUUUACAAUAUAAAAUUAAUUAUGAUAAAUACAAUAUAUUAAUAAUAAAUACUCAAUUACCUCUUAACAUAAUUCGCGCAUCAUGGCUUUUAGCUUAUAUUAUAAAGAUAUAAUAUGUUGUCUAUAAUAAUCGACGGAAGGUAAUAGACAACAUGUUUUACUUCUUGUCUAUAAUAAUAUAGACAGUAGAUCUAGUGUUAUAGAUAACAAUUAAUACGUGUUGUCUAUAUGAUGAUAGACACCAAAAAUCUCUGUUGUCUAUUCUAUGACAAAAAAAUUUAAAAAAAUUCUAAUAUAUUUACAUCCCUGUAUUACAAUACCAAUAUAUAUGAAAAAAUAAAAAUAAUUAAAAAUCAAAUAAUCAAACAAUACUUAUAAACCACUAAUACUCACAAUCAAAUAUUUACACAUCAACAAUUGUAUUAUCUUUAAUUACGCCUUCAUUUAUCUACUAAAAAAAAUCUCUAAUAAAAUCUCUAACUAACUCCGGUCAUCAUCUCUUGAAGGCUUAGAAAAUGUCCAAAUACAGCGGCACAUGCUCAUUAUUGUGUGAGCGAUGAGAACUUUGCGCUGAACCUAUAAAGUAACUAUACUUAACUGGUAAAGUAAUUGUAUCCCGUGAAUCUAAAGGAAGAAUAAACACGUUGAUAGAGUUUGAAAGAAAAGAAUAAAGAGAAUGAAAAUCCAAAGAAUUUGCUUCUUCCGUUGAACAAUCCCUACACAACGUUGAAAUAUCAAUGAAAACAAUGGCUAUCCUAUACUCCCUCCAUCCAUGAAAGAACUUCCUAGGAGGGAGUGACACGGGUUUUAAGAAAAAAUAUUGUUAAGUGUAUUGAGAGUGGAUAAAAGGUAGUUGAGUGUAUUGGGAGUGGUGAAAAUGUGUUAUAGUUAAUAUUGAGAGUUGUGAAAAGUGAAAAGUAAGAGGAUUAUAAGUGGUGGGGUAUAGUCCAAAAAUAGGUAGGAAGUUCUUUUGUGGACGUCCCAAAAAGGAAAGAUAUGAAGUUCUUUCGUGGACGGAGGGAGUAUUAUUUUGCAGCAGCAACCACGUUUAAAAACUCGAUCCCUCUAUUCUUGAAUUUGUGAAAUUUCCGACUGAUUUAUUAGAUUCACCAUUUAUUUCAGUUUAAUUAGUCUAUAUAUAGAUAUUUCUUAUAUUAUUAAAUUGUUAACCUCAUGGUAGAUUUCAAGAUUUGAAAAUUCAACAAAGAGCUUGAGAAUUAUAGAGAUUGGAAGGGGAAGAUGAAACAUAGUUGGGUGAAAUUAGAAACCAAUUAAAGUCAGGAGAUUGAAGAAAAACAUAACUUAAAAACACAAAAUAAGCAAAUCGUAGAUGCAGUAUCUUGCAAGAAAAAGUUCAUAUUCCCAAGGCUAUGAUGAGCACGAAUUAGGGUGUGUCUGCAUUUUAUCCCUCUAAAUGGAGGAAUAAUAAAAUUUUAUGCCUUUAAAUGUUUGCUUUCUUAUCACACAUUCUAAACAAACACCAUUUUUUCUUCCUUAUUUUCACUUCAAUGAGGGAUAAUAUUAUCCCUCCAAUUUUGGUGUGAUAAUAUUAUCCCUCCUACAAGUGAAAAUAAGGAAGAAAAAAUGGUACUCCCUUCGUCCCAAACGAAAUGUCCUGUUUUCCUUUUUGGGCUGUCCCAAACGAAAUGUCCUGUUUCCUUUUUUGGCAAUACACUCUCUCUCUAUACUUAAUAUUUAAAUAAUUUUCACCAACCCACUUUAUCUACUUUAUACACAUUUCUUAAUCUCCGUGCCGAAAAGAAAUGGGACAUUUCGUUUGGGACGGAGGGAGUAUUUGUGUAGGAUGUGGGAUAAGAAAACAAACAUUUAAAGACAUAAAUUUUUGUUAUUCCUCCAUUUAGAGGGAUAAAAAGCAAACACACCUUAGAGUCUAAUUACAAUUUAGGCGCAGGCUGUGUGAGAAUUACUUAGUCGAAUAGGAUCCUUAGUAUUUAUAUUUCUCAUGUUCUUGUGUAUUUUUUCACUGAUUCACUAUUGGAUUAACAAGAAUUAUCUUACUUUAAAAAAAAAAAAGAAAUGAUCUUACUUCAUGUAUGGUAUGCCAACUGUUCGAUAAAGGUCCUUUUAGAAAUAUUCCAUAGAUUACCUUGCAAAGACCACAAAACUAGACACACCCUGCAUAGUUUAUACAUAGGGAUGGCCGAUUGAUGAUCGUCUUAUUUGUAGACUUAACGAGAGCAGACUCGAUCGCUUAGUCCUUACUGAUUUACGACACACAUGCACACAUACACAGAUACACACAUCACAAAAUCACGCAAAUUGACGGAUAAUGUUGCCGGCCAGCUCCUUCCUGCUCCACGCCACGGCAUUUUUCUGCACCAUGGUGGCCGUGAAAUACCACGAGACGAUGUCAUGGGUGGCGACGUGUUGUCCGGUGGCGGCGGAUAGCCCGACCUGAACCUCCUGAGCAACAAAGUAGCUCAAAUCGUACUCAUAGCUGACAUCAAACGUCUGAUUGCCGGCGGUGACUUUGACGGAGAUCAUCCUUGUGGCUCCGACGUAGUUGAUCCGCGCAGUUACCUGCUGCUUGAGUAUGGAGCUGUCGACCGGCGUCGUCUUGCUGGAUACCCUAGAGCCGAAGUCGAUGCCGAUGUGGGGAUAGAGCGGAUCCCACGCGCCGUUGACGUAGGUGUCGAUUUCAACGGCGAAGACCCCGGGGCUGUUGCCGUUGGAGCCAAAGAUUCCGAGAUUGGCUCCGUCGGAGCCAGGGGGGAUGGUGGAGUCGACGGGGGCAAUGAAGAAGGCGAGGCCGUCGGCAGGCUCGUUGUCGGCGCCGGGGGUGAUGAUGAAGUUCACGGUGGUUUCGAAGUCGACCUGCCCAUUGGACAUCCAGAAUUGGACCGGUUCCGAGUACAUGACGCGGCCGACUUGGGACGGUUGUGCGUCUGUGAGGCGGAGGAAGGUGGAGUCCGUCGGGAAAUGGGCGUUGCCUUGAUAGAUGAGAUCUUUCGGCUGGUCGCCCCAGAAGUCGAAGGUGAACGACGUCGUUUGGGACAACGCCGUGUUGGAAACGGCGAGGAGGAGGGCGAUGGAGGCGAGGAGAGGAGUUAAGUUGGCCAUGGCUUAAUAGAUUUAGAUUUAGAGAUGUGGUGGAUGAUGGUGGUAUCGAUCUGUUGCACCUAUUUAUACUAGUAUGGUUCAUGCCUGAUAAUAAUUGUAUCAAUCAAUCAUCGUGCAUCUAUCCCAAAUUAUAUGUC